rnacentral:lncRNA from 1 species
GGCAGCUGGAACACAAUAAAAACUUCAGCCUGUAAGUGGUGCUCAUGAACACUGCCCAUUCCAGAAAAUUUAUUCUAUUUAGUGUCUUUCAUAUGAUCAAAAGAGGCAUUUAAAUUUACCAUUAAUUAUAUAUCCACUGUACAGUUAUUAUGAGUACAUUUUAUACUUAGAAAAAUGAACAAAAAGAUUUCUUAUUUAAUGAUAAUGUAUUGGCCUCAUAUGAUAAUUGAGAGUGAAAGUCACAUUAGUCUCAUUUCUCUCAUUCACAACCAUGUCAGAGAAACUGAAGAUGUGCUUAUUUUUUCAUCAUAAACAAUAUUAAAAAAUAAAUUUAUGGCAUUUACUUUAACACAGUUCCUGUCUUUGUAAAUAAUGAAUAUUGUUGAAGUGUAACUGCAGGACCUACAAGAUUUCCGUGUUCACGGGACUCUUCAAUAGUGCUGGGCUCUGCUCACUCACUAGCUGAGUGAUUCGCUCCCUAGGAGGCACCUUCCAGCACUGAUACAAAUUUAAGCCCAGCGCUUUAAUUAUUCUCUCAAUCUCCUACAACUUGGUAAGGAUUAUAUAGCUCUAUGACUCAGCAGUGGGGUAGGUGUUAUUUUCUACCCAUUUUAUCCUUAAAUCUCCAUUAUCAUCAUUUAAAAAAAUAAAUUCAACCUACAGACUGAAUCUCACAAAUCACCAUCAGUGUUAAACAGUGACUUCAAGUAAAUAUCCAGGCAAUUUAAACACCCUGUCAGGGUUGUUGUCCUGUCAAUGAAUCUUCCAUUUCUAUUUCUCCUUCCAUAAAUGACACAGGACAUGGAAGCUUAGUGUCCACAUUUUGUGUUCUGUCUCCUUGAUCUUUGCUGACCUUCACUAAGAUGUGUCUUCUUCCACCUAGGCAUCCAACAAAGGUAUCUCUCAAGUGAAAUUGGCAACUACAAUUGGGAACAGUGGACCUUCCCUUGUCUAAGAUCUCAAAAUUCUUCACUGAGUCACUUCCUUACCCUACCCCAAGCCCUUCUUCAUCCUUUGACAGGAGCUUGGUGGAAAUUCUUUAUGUCCUAGAACAAUGAUUCACACCCUGUUAAGUCCUUAUCUCUAGUAUUUCCCCAUUUUAUUUUCCCCACAAUACUCUGUUUUAAUGGAAGUAUAAUAGACAUACUACUAAAUACAUAUAUUAACACAUGGAUUAUGGAUUUUAUAAAAUAUAUACAUUUCCAUCAACUCAAAUCGUUUCCAGUCAGUUUCCAUAUCGGAGACAAGCAUUAUUUCAGUUUUCUUAACAUAGGUUUUGCUUCCUGAAACUUCAUAUAAAGGAUAAAAAUCAUCUUUUGCUAAAAAAAAAAAUGAGACUCUUCUGUUUUCUAAUGUAUACCAGGAGGUGUUCUUUUGUAAUUGCUGAGUAGAAUUUUGUAUGAAAAUAACACAAAUUGUUC